GUCAGAUCAUUUCCAUAGAGAGCUACUUUGCAUCAGCAGCACCAUGCACCAGUGAUCUGGGAGAGUUUAUAGUCCUGAGAGUUGAACACUGGAUGACUGACAGCUGUCCUUCAUCACAACAGAAGACACAUAAAUCCUCCUCAUCAAAAACAUGACUUUGAUCUGCAUCCUCAUCUGGACUCUCCUCUGCUGCUGCUUCACAGAGUCCAGAGGUCAGAUCACAGUGACUCAGCCUGCAGCAGUGAGAACUGAUCUGGGAGGAUCUGUCACCAUCAGAUGUAGAACCAGUCAGAAUGUUUAUUUUGGGAACCACAACCACUAUUUAGACUGGUACCAACAGAAAGAUGGACAAACUCCUAAGCUGCUCAUUAAUUAUGCUAGCACUCGAGCAUCAGGGACUCCAAGUCGUUUUACAGGCAGUGGAUCAAACUCUGACUUCACUCUGACCAUCAGUGGAGUUCAGGCUGAAGAUGCUGCAGUUUAUUACUGUCAGAGUCUUCAUAACAUUGGCAGUCAGUGGCCACACACACAGUGAAAAUCUGUCGUACAAAAACCUCCCUCAGUCAGACUGAACUGAAACUGAACUGCAGCUGCAGAAACUGAUUCUUUUCAGUGAACAAACUAA